GGGGUCUCACUAUGCUGCCCAGGCUGGUCUCGAGCUCCUGGCCUCAAGCAGUUCUCCUAUUUCAACCUCCCAAGUUAGAGGCUCCUGAACUACAAUGGCAACGAUUGAAGAAACUGUUGUUGAAAAGUCCACGCCAAAUUCUCGGUAUGUCACUGAAGACAAGGACAUUUUGGGUAGAACCAGGCUGCUAAUCCACUCUUGCCAGGAGGGAAGAUUUUUUCUCUUUCUGUAGUGAGCAACAACGCCACUCGAUGAAGAAACUGAGGUUCAUGGAAGUUAAAUAACUUGCCCACAGGGCACAACUAGUAGGCAGCUAAGCUAGGACUUCAACUGAGGUCUGUAAGACUUAAAGCACAUGCUAUUCCUGCUCCUCAAUAGCUUUCCUGCUAAGCACCAAGAGACGCUAGGCUGCCAGGAACAUCACAGCAGAGACCACCGUCAAUCAAUGCAUCUCCACCGUCUUUUAGACAUUCUUUUGAAGAAAGAUUUAGCUGCUAAAAGAAAAGAUGAAUAUACAAAAAGGAUAAUACUACCAUAUUUCAUCAUAUUGUCUCGUUUUAAUACAAGAAGACUCAUCCAGCUUAAACAUUUGAUGUUUAAGAAGCUAACCAGCAAGCUGCCCUCUGGGAAUGCAUACCAUCAGGUAUGGAUCAGUGGCCCUGAGAUCAUGUUCAUAACUCAGCAGCUUUGUACAAGCUGUCAAGACUCAGAACAUGGUACCCCAAAGUAUGGCACCUUGGUGUGCUGAGUACU
rnacentral:lncRNA from 10 species